UCUCAGGACACCUUGCCCUAACGCAAGGCUUUCGACCUGGGAGGGUCGCCAUG
rfam:Devosia sp. Root413D1 contig_5, whole genome shotgun sequence.